rnacentral:rRNA from 1 species
UACGUAGGGUGCGAGCGUUAAUCGGAAUUACUGGGCGUAAAGCGUGCGCAGGCGGUUUGCUAAGACAGAUGUGAAAUCCCCGGGCUUAACUUGGGAACUGCGUUUGUAACUGGCAAGCUAGAGUGUGGCAGAGGGGGGUGGAAUUCCAAGUGUAGCAGUGAAAUGCGUAGAUAUUUGGAGGAACACCAAUGGCGAAGGCAGCCCCCUGGGUUAACACUGACGCUCAUGCACGAAAGCGUGGGGAGCAAACAGG